AGACUCAGGACUGCAACAUCAACUCUUACCUUGAAUUUCCAGACUGACCUACACCUUUUGAAUUUGCUAUCCUCCACAAUCAUACACUUGAUUAGCCUUAGGCAGUCCUGUGCAUCACAGCCUUCUGCAAUACCUGCCAGAUCAUCUACAGAAGCUAGGGUGAAAACCCAGGGUAUUAUAUCCUUAGAAUUUAUUUCUACCAGAAAGUUGCCACUUUAUAUAUUCUGCCAACAAGCUUGCUUGCAAGAGGAGAAGCCACUAUUAUUCCCGAGUCAGUGGCAUGAACACGUGGACUGCAGAGAUAACUGAGGUAAGAUUUGAUGAAUGACUUCCUUGUGUCAUUAUAUUCUGAAGUGGCAGUUUCCUGUGAUUCUUAUUCAUACUGAUUUUUUGAACACUAGCAAUGACUUCCCUGAUCCUUGCUUUAUCACUCAUCCCAAAGGUUUGGUAACUUUCCAAUCUCUGUAUUACAUCCCUUUCAGUUUGAAAUCUCAAGCAUAUUCUGUUUUUCUAACCAACCUCUGACUGAUAUGCAGAAUUUCAACAGCUGCCCAAGGUCUCACAGUUAAUCAGAUUUGAAUCCAGAUCUGUCCAGCUUUUGACUAUAUGAAUUCUUGAGUUCUGUAUCUUUCUUCAGACGAUUGUGGGUUGCUUUACAUUCCUAAAUGGAGAAUAGCAUGUUUGGAGUUCUGUAGGGGGAAAAGAUUAUACCUCUAUAUCUAAAUCUAAUCUAUGUAGUACUUAUAUCACUUUGUGUUUCCUUAGACUGAUUUGGAGAAGUCUGAGGCAAAUUAAAAUAUAUAGCUACAAGGAAACCAGAAAGAACUAUCUGAAGAUUUGAACUACUCCUUUUGUUAUUUUUCAUAGCCAUGGGUUAAAGAGGGAGGAUAGUAGAGAUUAGCAAGAGGGAAAACAAGAGAUUUGUGAUUUGGAGUGACACAACUACUGAUCCAGUUAUAACCACCCAUCCCUGCAUUUGUAUGUUUGGAUGAGUAUUUUUAAAAUAUUAAAUUCUAGUCAUUGUCAAUAUUUGUAGUAUAAUGUAAAUAUUAUCCAGAAGGGGCUGAUUUAUGUAAAAUAUUUAGUUUGACUCAGGAAGAAUAAAUAACAGAUCACAUUGUUGUUGCUACCAUUCAUCUUAUAAAAGUUAACAAUUAAAUUUAGAAACAUGCUUAUUUAUACAUUAUUGACAUUUCAGACACAAUUGAUUUUAUUUGCUUAUAAAUAACUAGCUCUGCAACAAUGUUUUACUUUUCCAUUCAUCAGCUUGUUUUUAAAAUGUUUUGAAAGGACAGAGAGUGAAAGUUGGAUUAACAAUGAAGCAAUUAAUUUAAUUGCAAAAGAAAUGACUAGGCAAAAUAUAUAGUGUAAAGGAAGGAAUCUAGAUAAGUACUUGUGUUGCUAUGGGGACUGGAUUUAUAGAUGACCUUAAAAAGAGAAUUAAUUUCCUUGGAUGUUUCUCUUGUGCAGUUUUACUCUCAGAUUGUAAAUGGUC
ensembl:lncRNA LINC02653 long intergenic non-protein coding RNA 2653